CACGUUGGAACACCGGUUCUUGCACGAUCCCCGAUGUUAAGUAACGUUGAGCUUGGUCAGUAUCUAGAUGGGUGACCGCCUGAGAAUACUAGGGGCUGUAAG